AUCCAGCCGACGAGUCCCAAAUAGGACGAAAUGCACAUCCUGGAU
rnacentral:hammerhead_ribozyme from 1 species